UACGGAGGGUGCGAGCGUUGUUCGGAAUUAUUGGGCGUAAAGCGCGUGUAGGCGGCUCCUUAAGUCUGAUGUGAAAGCCCCGGGCUCAACCUGGGAAGUGCAUUGGAAACUGGGGAACUUGAAUACGGGAGAGGGUAGUGGAAUUCCUGGUGUAGGAGUGAAAUCCGUAGAUAUCAGGAGGAAUACCGGUGGCGAAGGCGGCAUCCUGGACCGAGAUUGACACUAAAGCGCGAAAGCCAGGGGAGCAAACGGG
rnacentral:rRNA from 1 species